CUUCUGAACCGGUACUGCCUUCUUCAAUAUCAGCCACCGGCCGGUCCACCUCUUCAAUAAUCGUCCUUCAUCGCCCUUCAGUUGACCUGAGAUCUAGAAGGACACAACAGGCAAGAGGGGCGAGGGUUGUUCAGUGCUUUGACAUGUGUGCAACUAUUCAAGCACAAUGGUUAGAUGAUAUCCCCAUUCAUUUUAGAUUAUUACAUUGUGGUGUUCGACUUCUUCAGUCAAGCAGCAAUCAUGCAACAUGCCUUACUGUAGUUUUUUAUCACUGCACAUGUUGCUGGACAAAUUUAUGGACUGGAGGAUUAUAGAGGACUAACAAGUGCUACUGGGAGAUUCUCGAGCACCAUUGAACUAAGAGAUUCCAAAUAGUUCUUUGGAGUCUAUUGUUGAUGUUGGCGGGGAUAAUCU